CAAGGAGUCCCUGGGUCAUGUUACUGAAUAAAAGAAGGCAGUAACAAAAAUUUCUUUCAUAUGAAGCUUUAGACAAAUGAAACUAAUUGAUGACAAAAAAUAUAUAUGGCUGCUAAUUAUAGUAGAGAUUUGGCAGCAGGAUUCCUCAAAAGUAGGCCGUGGUGUCCUUUCCUACAGUUCAUUACCAGUGGGCAAGGAGGGCCUACUCGGGUUGCCAAAGUCUCAACACUGAUUCGCAGGCAGUGGGGAGAGAGCGUUUCCCGGAUGCGCACCUCCAGCCAGGAGGCAAACGUUUGCCACGGGGGAAUUUUUGUUUCUCCCUAA
rnacentral:lncRNA from 1 species